rnacentral:lncRNA from 1 species
UAAAUAUCAUAUUGUAAAACAUUUCAUUAAUCUUUUUAUUUUUAAUUGUCUAAUUAAAGUCUGUGGAUCCAUACGGUUAAUACCACCUGUAGUCAGCAUUCUGAAAAGGGAACAGGCCAUAUGAGGACAUCGAGAGACGGGACUGUCUACAAGCCAAGAAGGGAGGAUUCUUUCUGAAAAAGGAGAAACCAAACCUGCAAGCAC